GAUGAACGCUGGCGGCGUGCUUAAUACAUGCAAGUCGAGCGAACAGACGAGGAGCUUGCUCCUUUGACGUUUGCGGCGGACGGGUGAGUAACGCGUGGGUAAUCUACCUAUCAGACUGGGAUAACUUCGGGAAACCGGCGCUUAUACCGGAUAAUAUUUCGAACCGCAUGGUUCGAUAGUGAAAGAUGGCUUUGCUAUCACUUAUAGAUGGACCUGCGCCGUAUUAGCUAGUUGGUAAGGUUACGGCUUUCCAGGGCAACGAUACGUAGACGACCGGUGAGAGGGGUCGGCCACACGGGAGCUGGAACGCGGACCAUGGUCCUACGGGAGGCAGCAGUAGGGAAUCUGCCGCAGUGGUCGAAAACCUGGCGGAGCAGCGCGACGUGAGUGAUAAAGAUCUUCGGAUCGUAAAGCUCUGUUAUGAGUGGAGAACAACCGUGGAAGUAACUGAACACGGCUUGACGGUACCUAAUCAGAAAGCCACGGCUAACUACGUG
rnacentral:rRNA from 1 species